CAGGCGGUUCUUGGUUGGGUUCUUGCAUGAGGUUUUGUUUGUUUGUUUGUUGUUUGAAGAACAUAAGUGGAAUGCAGUACUAUACAGCUCUCCCCCGACUUGUCAUGCUUCACUAUCUAGACACCAAUGCAGAGCAUGCAGCAAAUCUUGGCCUGCUGAAAAUGAGAUGCUGCGGUGGGAACUCCUUCCAGGAGCUUGCAAUGUGCUGUAGCUGGACCUGGAAAGUGGUGAAAGGUAGAAGAUGUCUGAGAUUUGCUGAAAGAGCAGUGGGCUGGAUUUCAAACCCAUGCUAUAGUGCAUGCUGUACAUGUGCUCUGUAGGCGGCAGGUUAGACGACUAGACCCAGGUCAGCUUACUGUUAUAAUUCUGUUUGUAGUUUGUAACCAACAAUAUGGCAUCUUAAGGGUUUGUGAUUUAUUGCCAAUCAGCCAAAUGCUGUAUCCAGGUACUCUGUAAUGUGUUUUACAUAAAAACAGUUCAUAGUCAUGGUAUAUUGCCCAUAUGCAACCACACACAUUCAUUUUUAAUCCGGUGGAUUGAAAGUUUAUUGGCUA